rnacentral:rRNA from 1 species
GAUGAACGCUGGCGGCGUGCCUAAAACAUGCAAGUCGAGCGAACGGACGAGAAGCUUGCUUCUCUGAUGUUAGCGGCGGACGGGUGAGUAACACGUGGAUAACCUACCUAUAAGACUGGGAUAACUUCGGGAAACCGGAGCUAAUACCGGAUAAUAUUUUGAACCGCAUGGUUCAAAAGUGAAAGACGGUCUUGCUGUCACUUAUAGAUGGAUCCGCGCUGCAUUAGCUAGUUGGUAAGGUAACGGCUUACCAAGGCAACGAUGCAUAGCCGACCUGAGAGGGUGAUCGGCCACACUGGAACUGAGACACGGUCCAGACUCCUACGGGAGGCAGCAGUAGGGAAUCUUCCGCAAUGGGCGAAAGCCUGACGGAGCAACGCCGCGUGAGUGAUGAAGGUCUUCGGAUCGUAAAACUCUGUUAUUAGGGAAGAACAUAUGUGUAAGUAACUGUGCACAUCUUGACGGUACCUAAUCAGAAAGCCACGGCUAACUACGUG